CAUAAAUCAUUUUUCCCCAACAGAUGCAUUUAUAAAAAACGUUUUGUUCUGAGCCAGAGCAACCUCACAGAAUCAUUAAGACAACAUAAAAUGGAGUACCAAUCUGCUCUAGUUGGUGCUGGGGACUGAAUCUUGGACUUCUCUCAGUAUUUCAGACCACAGCCUGGAAGAUGGCACAUUGGAUAAAGUACUGGACUCACAAGUAUGAAAUCCUAUGCUUUAAUUCCAAUAUCACAUAUGCCAGAGUGAUGUUCUUGUAUUCUCUAUCAUUAAUAAGAAUAAAUCUUUAAAGAAAAAAAAGUUAUUGGUGGCGUCAAAGGUUAUU